AAUUAGAAAGCGAAUAAUUGCAUUUAGUUUCGACCUAACCCUUAGGCUCACUGCCUUCUAAUUU
rnacentral:tRNA from 1 species